AGGAAUUAAAAAAAGAGAGAGAGAGAGAGAAGAAGAAAAAACGUGGCGGCGAAGUUACGACGGGGCGCUCUGCGAAGCCUGCACCGACAUCUCGCUGCGGACUAAAAACAAACACCGUGCGAUGGGAUUGAACAUAAAGAAUCUCCACAGGGGCGCCCCAGUAGCUCAGCUGGUAGAGUCCACAACCCACAUACACAGGUCCUGCCCUGGCUUGAGUCCGACCCGUGGCCCGAUGCUGCACAUCAUCCCCACUCUCUCUCUCUUUCUCUCUCUCUCUCUCUCGCUUCAUGUUUUCAUCAUCACCUCACUGUCCAGCGAAAUAAAGCCAUGAAACAGCCCAAAAAUUA